UACAGAGGUCUCAAGCGUUGUUCGGAUUCAUUGGGCGUAAAGGGGUGCGUAGGUGGCGCGGUAAGUCGGGUGUGAAAUUCGAUGCUUAACUCCGAAACUGCAUUCGAUACUGCCGUGCUUGAGGACUGGAGAGGAGACUGGAAUUUACGGUGUAGCGGUGAAAUGCGUAGAUAUUCGCAAGAACACCAGUGGCGAAGGCGGCUCACUGGCCCGAUACUGACGCUGAGGCACGAAAGCGUGGGGAGCAAACAGG
rnacentral:rRNA from 1 species